CUCGUUAGCGUACUAAUGUUUGUAAUUCAUACGCAUUAUUACAAUGACAAGAUCAGACAGACAGACGGACAGAAAACGGUAAUAAUUAUAAUAAAACAAGAUUACAAACGGAUUUAUUUUUUAUUGCUUUAUUUGAUGCAAGAAUUACAAGAUGCCAUAAAGUUAAUAAUACACGAUAAGACAAAAUUCUCAUGCAUGCAAACAACUUAUGUUACAAAUAAACACUUUGAUUUGAAUUCUUUCAUCUAUUGAAAUAUAUGUUGGUGUACAUAUAAGUAACACUUCUUCAUUUCUGUUCACUAAAGAAGUGAUUAAUAGUUGGCAUAACCUCUGGUGGUCGAGUUCGAAGGAAAUUCCUCAAGCCAUGCUUAGCAUAUUUCUCUCCUUCUUCUUUGUUAUCAAACACUCCCUUGGUGCGGCCAUUUUUGCUUAUCCUAUGUAGGAAAAUUAUCAAAUCAAAUAAGCAAAACAAAACAAAUCAAACAAUUACACUAAUUGUGUCAAUAUAAUAUAUGUUCCUUUCUUCAUUAUAAAGAUUAUGUUGAAACAACCGUCAAAACUAAUAAAAAAAUAAUUUUUGUCAUUAAAGAGAUUACUAGGCUGGAUCGUGAACUAUGUCGCUUUGUUUAAGACGUGUGUGUUCCAACAGAUUCUAGUAAAAACAUUUGAGCUGAAAAUCUAAAUAAUUAAAUUAGUGAGAAAAUUUUAAAGGGAGAAAAUAUGAAACCCCCUCUAAUAGAUUCAAUUCCAUAUUUUUUCUGUCACUAAUUUUCGUUGCUAAUUUUGCUAUUUCUUAUUAGAAUUGUACCUAACAUCAGGGUUCUGGAGCAAGUUUCUUGUUAACUGGAAGACACACAUGCUUGUCACAAAGGUCAUUGCAGCCAAUAGAGGGUAAACCUAUAUAUAAAAAAGUUAAAAUUCAAGUAUUCAACAAAACUAUAAUGAGAAUAAUAAUGAAUCAAUUUAAAGUAUAUAUUUUACCUCUGGUUUCAUCCAGCGCCCCAUUAAUUUGGAAAAGUGUUUCUUUUAUGAUACUUUGCCUUUUGGGAUUAAAAAACAGAAUUCUUGGUUUCUUGAAUUUCAAAAAGUUUUGUUUUGCUAUUUCUACAAAAUAUUAGCAAUGGUUAUUUGAUCUUUAUUUUUCUUG
rnacentral:lncRNA from 1 species